GACGAACGCUGGCGGCGUGCUUAACACAUGCAAGUCGAACGGAAAGGCCUGCUUUCCCUUGUGGAUUGCGGGUACUCGAGUGGCGAACGGGUGAGUAACACGUGAGUGAUCUGCCCCCAACUUUGGUAUAAGCCUGGGAAACUGGGUCUAAUUCCCGAUAGGACUGCAGGGUGGUGCCUGUGGUGGAAAACGAUUUUCUAGUUGUUGGGGAUGAGCUCGCGGCCUAUCAGCUUGUUGGUGGGGUAAUGGCCUACCAAGGCGGCGACGGGUAGCCGGCCUGGGAGGGUGGACGGCCACAUUUGGACUGAGAUCCGGCCCAGACUCCUACGGGAUGCAGCAGUGGGGAAUAUGGCACAAUGGGCGGAAGCCUGAUGCAGCGACGCCGCGUGGGGGAUGACGGCCUUCGGGUUGUAAACUCCUUUCGACCGCGAGGAAGCCACCUGGUUGGAAGGGUGGUGACGGUAGUGGUAGAAGAAGCACCGGCUAACUACGUG
rnacentral:rRNA from 1 species